rnacentral:rRNA from 1 species
UACGUAGGGGGCAAGCGUUGUCCGGAUUUACUGGGCGUAAAGAGCGCGCAGGCGGUCGUUCAAGUCGAGUGUGAAAGCCCCCGGCUCAACUGGGGAGGGUCAUUCGAUACUGAUCGACUCGAAGGCAGGAGAGGGAAGUGGAAUUCCCGGUGUAGUGGUGAAAUGCGUAGAUAUCGUGAGGAAGACCAGUGGCGAAGGCGGGUCUCUGGACAGUUCCUGACGCUGAGGCGCGAAGGCCAGGGGAGCAAACGGG